rnacentral:rRNA from 1 species
UACGUAGGGCGCAAGCGUUAUCCGGAAUUAUUGGGCGUAAAGAGCUCGUAGGUGGUUUGUCGCGUCUGCCGUGAAAGUCCGGGGCUCAACUCCGGAUGUGCAUAGGAUACUGGAGAGCUAGAGACUGGUAGAGGCGAGCGGAAUUCCUGGUGUAGCGGUGGAAUGCGUAGAUAUCAGGAAGAACACCGGUGGCGAAGGCGGCUCGCUGGGCCAGUUCUGACACUCAUCCGCGAAAGCGUGGGGGAGCAAACAGG